AACGAACGCUGGCGGCAGGCUUAACACAUGCAAGUCGAACGCCCCGCAAGGGGAGUGGCAGACGGGUGAGUAACGCGUGGGAAUCUACCCAUCCCUACUGAAUAACGCAUGGAAACGUGUGCUAAUACCGUAUACGCCCUACGGGGGAAAGAUUUAUCGGGGAUGGAUGAGCCCGCGUUGGAUUAGCUAGUUGGUGGGGUAAAGGCCUACCAAGGCGACGAUCCAUAGCUGGUCUGAGAGGAUGAUCAGCCACAUUGGGACUGAGACACGGCCCAAACUCCUACGGGAGGCAGCAGUGGGGAAUAUUGGACAAUGGGCGCAAGCCUGAUCCAGCCAUGCCGCGUGAGUGAUGAAGGCCUUAGGGUUGUAAAGCUCUUUCACCGGAGAAGAUAAUGACGGUAUCCGGAGAAGAAGCCCCGGCUAACUUCGUG
rnacentral:rRNA from 1 species